AGAAUAUUAUUCAGAGACAAAAAGGAAAGACAUACUGAUAUACUACAAUGUAGAUGAACCUUGAAAACAUUAUGCUGAGUGAAAGAAGCCAGUCACAAAAGACCAUACACUCUAUGAUUUCAUUCAUAUGAAAGUCCAGAAUAGGGAGGUCUCUAGAGAUGGAAACUAGACCAGUGGUUGCCUAAACUAGGGGGGGGGCAGGAAACAGGAGACAGUGAUGACAGCUAAAGGAUAUGGAAUUUUUUUUUUGAGGUGAUGAAAAUGUUCUAAAAUUGACUCUGGUGAUGCUUGCACAUAUCUGUGAAUAUACUAAAAACCAUUGACUUGCUCACUUUAAAUGGGUUAAAAGGGUAAAUUGUACAGUAUGUGAAGUAUAUCUCAAUAAGUCUGUUUUUUUUUAAAAAAAACUGUCUACAGAGUUAUGCUGUUUGGAAAAUGAGAACUGCAGUAUCUGAUGUCCUUUGGGUUUCUUUCUUCACUUGUGAGGGCGUGUUCCCUUGUGUGUUUGUUGGUCUUCACUUAUCAGCUCAUAUUUGGUUUAUCUUUAUCCCUUGAACUCCUAGGCCCUUAUGUGGGGCAUGCUCUCCUCCAGAGAUGAUUCACAUUUGCUUCAGCCAAUAGCCCAAGGACACCACUGAUCUGGGACCGAUUUGGCUCCCUUCAGGAUCUCCAGCUUCACCUGGAGCCUCAGGUUCAUCCCCUCAACUGUAAGCAGACUCAGGAGUCGGUCUCCUUGUCUCGGUGCUGAUUUAGCAUGUAAGGCAGCCUCACUCCACGUGUCUGCUCGCAACGCACCUCCCAAGUUUCAGCUCACAGCUUUGUUUGCUUGGGUUGGAUUUAUGGGCUUGAAGAUUUCCCUUAUCUCCUGAGCCCAGAAGUGCCAGAAAACUCAAGUCUUCUGCAGGAUCUAAUAAGAAGAAUCUUUGGAGAAUGUAGAUGAUAAUACCGCCCCAAAUAGAAGUCUCUCAUGCAGUUUUUUUGUUUGUUUGUUUUCGACAUCAGUAUCAACAAGAAAUGUGUUUCAUUGAAUAUGACUAAUUUGGCCUAUUAUACUUCCCUUUUCUAGCACUUAUGGGAAUAUCAGGAAUUCUAGAUUGAUCUUUCUCUCAAAGGAAAGCAUUAAGGCAUUUAAUUAACGGAAUACUAUAUGACAUACAGAGCCAAUAUAAAGUACGUGUAUCCAAACCAAGGUACUCACCAGAGCUAUCUGGGGAACUUUUAAAAAAUAUGAAUACUAGGGUUCCACUCAUGGCAAGUCUGUUUCAAUCAGUUCAGGUCUUUCUGUCAGUUCACCAACUCCAUCUGCUUUCCUAGCUCUAUAUCCAUCAUCCAAACCAAAGAUGGAAUUAUCUUCAUUCUUCAUUCUAGUAGAAACCACUUAUUUAAAAAAUUACCAUGAGAAGGGCACUGGACCAAGCACUUUGUCUGGAUUAUCUUGUAUAUUUAUCACCACAGCCUUCCAAGGGAUGUAUCAACAUUAUUCUCCCUUUACAGAUAACGAAAGUGACACUCAAUGAGGUUACUUAACUUGGUAAAUGUAUUAGCAGGGGUAAAACCUAGGCUGCUGUCACAGGGAGCCAGGAAUAAUUCAGUGGCUUAUUUCUCACGUUACAGUCUGGAGUCAGCAGAGCAGGUUGGCAGGCAACUUGGCUCCAUGUGGUCAUUCAGAAACCCAGUUCCUUCCAAUCUGUUUCUUCACCCCAUCCUAGUGCAUUGCCCUCAUCUGCAUGCUCAAAACUGACCU
rnacentral:lncRNA from 1 species